UACGUAGGGUGCAAGCGUUAAUCGGAAUUACUGGGCGUAAAGCGUGCGCAGGCGGUUGUGCAAGACCGAUGUGAAAUCCCCGGGCUUAACCUGGGAAUGGCAUUGGUGACUGCACGGCUAGAGUGUGUCAGAGGGGGGUAGAAUUCCUCGUGUAGCAGUGAAAUGCGUAGAGAUGUGGAGGAAUACCGAUGGCGAAGGCAGCCCCCUGGAAUAACAAUGACGCUCAUGCACGAAAGCGUGGGGAGCAAACAGG
rnacentral:rRNA from 1 species